AUGCUGAUGAAGAGUCCCAAAAUAGGACGAAACAGCUGUUCAGUAC
rnacentral:hammerhead_ribozyme from 1 species